CCCUGUGUGGCUCAGCGGUUUAGCGCCUGCCUUUGGCCCAGGGCGCAAUCCUGGAGUCCCGGGAUCGAGUCCCGGCAUAGAGU
rnacentral:tRNA from 1 species